rnacentral:rRNA from 1 species
UAGGGAAUCUUCGGCGAUGGACGGAAGUCUGACCGAGCAACGCCGCGUGAGUGAAGAAGGUUUUCGGAUCGUAAAGCUCUGUUGUAAGAGAAGAACGAGUGUGAGAGUGGAAAGUUCACACUGUGACGGUAUCUUACCAGAAAGGGACGGCUAACUACGUGCCAGCAGCCGCGGUAAUACGUAGGUCCCGAGCGUUGUCCGGAUUUAUUGGGCGUAAAGCGAGCGCAGGCGGUUAGAUAAGUCUGAAGUUAAAGGCUGUGGCUUAACCAUAGUACGCUUUGGAAACUGUUUAACUUGAGUGCAAGAGGGGAGAGUGGAAUUCCAUGUGUAGCGGUGAAAUGCGUAGAUAUAUGGAGGAACACCGGUGGCGAAAGCGGCUCUCUGGCUUGUAACUGACGCUGAGGCUCGAAAGCGUGGGGAGCAAACAGGAUUAGAUACCCUGGUAGUCCACGCCGUAAACGAUGAGUGCUAGGUGUUAGACCCUUUCCGGGGUUUAGUGCCGCAGCUAACGCAUUAAGCACUCCGCCUGGGGAGUACGACCGCAAGGUUG